GACGAACGCUGGCGGCGUGCUUAACACAUGCAAGUCGAACGGAAAGGCCCUGCUUUUGUGGGGUGCUCGAGUGGCGAACGGGUGAGUAACACGUGAGUAACCUGCCCUUGACUUUGGGAUAACUUCAGGAAACUGGGGCUAAUACCGGAUAGGAGCUCCUGCUGCAUGAUGGGGGUUGGAAAGUUUCGGCGGUUGGGGAUGGACUCGCGGCUUAUCAGCUUGUUGGUGGGGUAGUGGCUUACCAAGGCUUUGACGGGUAGCCGGCCGUGGAGGGUGACCGGCCACAUUGGGACUGAGGUACGGCCCAGACUCCUACGGGAGGCAGCAGUGGGGAAUAUUGCCCAAUGGGCGGGAGCCUGAUGAGGCAACGCCGCGGGCGGGAUGACGGCCUUUGGGUUGUAAACCGCUUUCGCCUGUGACGAAGCGUGAGUGACGGUAAUGGGUAAAGAAGCACCGGCUAACUACGUG
rnacentral:rRNA from 1 species